GUUGUCAGUUCGUGGAGGGAGGUGGGUGUGACCAAUUACGAAGAAAAGUGUCACAGUUCAACUCCAAAGCGAUGAAUGACUACAGAACUGCAAACGCCUAGUGUUACUGUACAUGAAAAGGCAGGACUUCGAUCAGUUAGGUAGCUAACGUUACACUGCUUAGUCCAGUUUAGAAUGACUUUUGCCAACAUCGAAAUAACUUGGUCAAAAUGUAUUAUCCACCCAACUCGUUCCUGAACUGGGGCAAACCAGAAAUAUUCUGCACUACUUUUAAUAAUGGGAGAUGGUGUGAUGGCUUUUCAACAGUCUGAUGGCCUGGAGAUAGAAGCUGUACUGUCUUUGUCUGCUAGAUGGUAGCAGAGUGAACAGACCAUGACUUGGGUGGCUGAGCUAUUUGAUGAUCAUCUUGGCCUUCCUUUGACAUCGAGUGCUGUCCUACAGGGCAGGCAGCAUGCCCCCUGGCACCACUCCGCCAGGACUCUAACCUCCUCCUGUCAGGAAGGUGGAGGUGAUACAGUGGCUUGCGAAAGUAUUCACCCCCUUGGCUCAAUUAAAAUUGAUUUUUUGGGGGGUGUAUCAUUUGAUUUACACAACAUGCCUACCACUUUAAAGAUGCUAAAUAUUUUUUAUUGUGACACAAACAAGAAAUAGGGCAAAAAAACUGAAAACUUGAGCGUGUAUAACUAUUCACCCCCCCCCCCCAAAGUCAAUACCUUGUAGAGCCACCUUUUGCAGCAAUUACAGCUACAAGUCUCUUGGGGUAUGUCUCUAUAAGCUUGGCACAUCUAGCCAUUGGGAUUUUUUGCCCAUUCUUCAAGGCAAAACUGCUCCAGCUCCUUCAAGUUGGAUGGGUUCCGCUGGUGUACAGCAAUCUUUAUGUCAUACCACAGAUUCUCAAUUGAAUAGAGGUCUGGGCUUUUACUAGGCCAUUCUAAGACAUUUAAAUGUUUCCCCUUAAACCAUUCGAGUGUUGUUUUAGCAGUAUGCUUAGGAUCAUUGUCCUGCUGGAAGGUGAACCUCCAUCCCAGUCUCAAAUCUCUGGAAGACUGAAACAGGUUUCCCCUCAAGAAUUUCCCUGUAUUUAGCGCCAUCCAUCAUUCCUGACCAGUUUCCCAGUCCCUGCCGAUGAAAAACAUGGUAUUCUCGGGGUGAUGAUAGGUGUUGGGUUUGCGCCAGAAAUAGCGUUUUCCUUGAUGGCCAAAAAGCUACAUUUUAGUCUCAUCUGACCUAAGUACCUUCUUCCAUGUGUUUGGGGAGUCUCCCACAUGCCUUUUGGCGAAGACCAAACGUGUUUGCUUAUUUAUUUUUUUAAGCAAUGGCUUUUUUCUGGCCACUCUUCCGUAAAACCUAGCUAUGUGGAGUAUACGGCUUAAAGUGGUGCUAUGGACAGAUACUCCAAUCUCCGCAGUGGAGCUUUGUAGCUCCUUCAGGGUUAUCUUUGGUCUCUUUGUUGCCUCUAGGAUUAAUGCCCUCCUUGCCUGGUCUGUGAGUCUUGGUGGGCGGCCCUCUCUUGGCAGGUUUGUUGUGGUGCCAUAUUCUUUCCAUUUUUUAAUAAUGGAUUUAAUGGUGCUCUGUGGCAUGUUCAAAGUUUCUGAUAUUUUUUUAUAACCCAACCCUGAUGUACUUCUCCAGAACUUUGUCCCUGACCUGUUUGGAGAGCUCCUUGGUCUUCAUGAUGCAGCUUGUUUGGUGGUGCCCCUCGCUUAGUGGUGUUGCAGACUCUGGAUUCUUUCAGAACAGGUGUAUAUAUACUGAGAUCAUGUGACAGAUCAUGUGACACUUAGAUUGCAUACAUGUGGACUUUAUUUAACUCAUUAUGUGACUUCUGAAGGUAAUUGGUUGUACCAGAUCUUAUUUAGGGGCUUCAUAGCAAAGGGGGUGAAUACAUAUGCACACACCACUUUUCCAUUUAAAAAAAUAUAUAUAUUUAUUGAAACAAAUUUAUUGAAAAAUGUGUGUAUGUCCAUUACAUUAAAUCCAAUUAAAAAUUCAUUUAAAUUAUAGGUUGUAAUGCAACAAAAUAGGAAAAAUUCCAAGGUGGAUGAAUACUUUUGCCAGGCACUGUAUGGUCCUUGACUAGCCUCUAAAAAAACUUCAUGAUGACAGAGUGUCUGUUUACAACGUGUGUUGGAGAAAAGAAGAGGAGGAGAUCGGAGAGAAGAAUAGUGGCGGAACGGUCACUCUCUCCUGCAGGGCAUGUAGGGUAAAGUAACUACACCUGUUAAUGAUGAACGGAGACCUGAAACCUCAAAGAGAAAUGUUCAGAUCAGUGUGUGAUUAAAAAAUGCCUGCAAGUUUAGUCAACCUCCUGCCUGCCCCCACAAAGCCACUCUGAGUUGGCCUGCCGCAUGUGUGAAUCGUUCAGACAACGUACAGGAGACAUUUACUAAUCACCCCGCAAACCAUCUCAACCACAUAAUGGAUGGAAGCAUGUCUGGGUUUUCCCCCUCUUUCUGUUUGAGGUUAAUUCACUUAAGUGGAGCUUAUCCAUUAAGUAGCCAUGGAUGAUCAAUAGCUGUCAUCCAUAGCAGAGUGAACAAAGUACUGGCUGCCAUGAUCUCUUAGCCUGGGUGCUGGUGUCAAUGCUGUGCUCCUAUACGUUGUCUCACUCACCACAUCUGUCUGUUAGGCUAAAUAACAAGACAGAGAGAGAGUGUACGCUUCAAAGAUGGGACAGUGACCUUGUUAGUGACCUUGUUAUACUGUAGAGUGAAUCUGCUAUAUGUGUUCUGUUUUGGAAACAGGGUCACAACAGUUCCUAGUCAAUGUACUGUGACUGCAUUCAAAGCCACAAAAUGGUCAUUGGGCAGAAAUUGGCCUGAGAAAAUGUGCAUUUCAGGCAGUAAAACACUGCUGUUGGACUGGUUGUUUUUCAUGGCUUAUUAUGACAAGCGUGUGUGAGUGCAUGCAAAUCACUUUUUUUGUGGUGCAUCUUUUCUGGAAGCUUAACUGGUGGUUCUUAGAACAAUUUAAAUAAUGCACAUUUUUUUGUUGUAAUGGGGGAUGCUUUAGAUAAAAACACUGUGUUUUUGAUGAAGAGAGGGAGCGUGCAAAGUGUGGUUUGCUUUUAUUGUUGUGGGUGGGUUUCUCUUCAUUUGAUCAAAGAUAGCGAAACAAAAGAUGAGUGAAUCACCUUAAACCUUUUUUUUACCAUCUGCUCUCUUUCUCUGUCUCUCUCUCUCUCUCCCUUCGCUGGUCUUUCAUACAACAACGUGUAUUUAGAAAUUGGAUCAAUUGUGUGGUAUAGUAAUUAUUUAUUUAGAGAAUAUCUGAUAAUGUAUUUUUAAGGUUAUUCAUAUUUUAUAUUAUAUAUGAAUAUUUUCCUCUAGUAGAUUUUUUAUGAAGUUUCACAUUUUAUUAGUCGUAUGUAUGGGAUAUAUAUAAUAUACGGCGUCCAACUAAAUGCUCACUUGCAGGUUCCUUCUCCACAAUGCAACAAAAAUAAGAAAUAAUAAAAGAUAAGAAUACAAACAUAAAGUAAAUGGCUCAGUAGAAUAGAAAUCAACAUUGUAGCAUAAGUAUAAUACAGGAAGGAACAAUUUAUAAUCCAAUAUUUAUACAUGUUUUGGUGAAAGGGGGAUUGGGGGCAGUGUUUAAAUUGUGCAGUAUUUAGCAGUAAUAAUAAGAGUCUGGUAGCAGCAGUUGUGAUGUGUGUGUAGUAUGAAUUUAUAUUUGUGUGUGUGUGUACCAGUCAAAAGUUUGGACACACCUUCUCAUUCAAGGGUUUUUCUUUAUUUUUACUAUUUUUUGCAUUGCAGAAUAAUAGUGAAGACAUCAAAACUAUGAAAUAACACAGAUGGAAUCAUGUAGAAACCAAAAAAGUGUUAAACAAAUAAAAAUAUUUUAGAUUUUAGAUUCUGCAAAGUAGCCACCCAUUGCCUUGAUGGCAGCUUUGCACAAUCUUGACAUUCUGGUGAAGACGGCUCAGUACAUCACUGGGACCGUGCUUCCACCCAUCCAGGACAUCUUCUCAAAACGGUGCCUGAGGAAGGCCAGCAGUAUCAUCAAGGACCCCACACACCACAGCCAUAAGCUGUUCACUCCCUUACCUUCGGGCAGACAGUAUCUGAUACCAACAGGCUCAAAGAUAGUUUCUAUAUACAAGCCAUCAGACUGCUGAGCACUUUAACUGGACUGACCACCUGCACUGACUCUCUGCACCUUAGCACACAUGACGCUUUUGUGCCCUCUUGACAAGAGUGGUGGUGUUGUUGGUCCAUGACAAUACCCUGAUGAUGUGAACGCCGAGGAACUUAAAACUGCUGACUCUCUCUACUGCAGUCCCAUUGAUGUGGAUUGGGGCAUGUUCCCUCCUCUGCUUUAUGAAGUCAACAAUCAACUCCUUUGUUUAGCUGACAUUGAGGGAGAAGUUGUUGUCCUGGCACCACAAUGCCAGUUAAUUUACCUCCUCCCUAUAGGCUGACUUGUUGUUGUUGGUUAUCAGGCCUACAACCGUGGUGUCGUCAACAAACUUGAUGAUGGAGUUGGUGUCGUGCAAAGCCACACAGUCGUGGGUGACAGGGAGUACAGUAGAGGGUUGAGGACACAACCCAGGGGGACCCCUGUGUUAAAGCCUUCCGCAUGUUUUGGUUGAGCUGGCGCCUAGCUGAACAAAGGUGCACCGAGCGAGUAUGCUUGCAUACUCCCUUAAAAGACAUUCACUUGAAUACACCAGUAUCCACUUCUUCAAAAUAGUCAAAAUUAAUGUAAGAUAACUCAAACAAUCGGUCAUUAAUUUCGACGAAGAGUUUUGACAAAGAGAUCUUAGUUGUGCAAUUUUGCAAAUAACUAAUUUCGCAAGUGAAACAUUUUGCAUGAAAACGAUUUGUCUCUCUUUGAAUGACAACAAACACUUAAUUGAAGAAUCGCUACUGUUGACCAAUCAUCGACGAAGGGGUGUAGACUUCGGCUACUGACUUUGGCUUGCCUCGAAUUUUGUUUGUGUGCACAAACAACUGGAAAAACCCUUGGCGAAGACCAAACCUAACAAAAUCUUCACAAAAUGUUGUCAGAAUAUAUGCACAAACUGUUCCGAACUGUUUCAGAAGCAUGGGAAGCAUGCAGAUGCUUUAAUAACCAGUGUGGAGGAGGUUUGGAGGAGGUGUUGUUGAAAGGGGGGUUUCUAUGAAAGGCAGCAGUUCUAAUGACUUAAUUCAGUGCAGAGAAUCUUGUCGUCACCUUCAAUCCUGAACCAGUUAAUACAUCAGUGUGAAAAGUAGGUCUCUAACAUGCUAAAUUAUGAGAUGCAUUGUAUCAAGCAGGACGACAAAGCUCUCUAGUCGUUAAUCAAUCUUUGUGAUAUAGUGUCUGUACAAUAAAUAAUUCAUGACACUUUCUCUGUCCUGAGGAAUGUGGUCAUGAUGAAUGACUGCCCUUGUUGUGGAAAAUGUCUCUGACAUCCAUUUUAAUGUAUACAAAUCCCUCUUUCCAUGGCAGGAUGAUGAACAGCACACUGAAAACACGUUUAAAACUCUAAAUCUCUAUGUUCUAAUUUUUGCAGUGCAUAGCGACAUAUUGGGUUAUAAAUGGAGGUUUUUAAUUUAUUGUUGACUUUUUAAGGCCUCUUUAAUCAUAACGUCCACCUGCUAUGUGUUUAGGUGCCCUGAUAAAUGUGUCUUGUGUAGGAGAGCCUAUCGUCAGUUGGGGUUACGUGGCAGUGAAUGGGACUACUUUCUGUCUAUGACACACACUAAGUAAUGAUGCUAUUUUUCACUUUGGGCCGGCCAUUUUAAGCUUGUCUAUGUUGGACUUGACAUUAUUAUUGUGAGCUGCAGCAUCUUUCUGGAUGCUUUGUGAUGAACACAGGACACAGCAACACGAAUGCUAAUGUAUUUCUGUGUAAGAUUAGCGCAGUAAGGAAUAGAUCACAUGAGUUGCAAAACUGCUCAUCUAAAAUGUAAAGCAGUUGUGUAUUUCACUCAAACUUGAAGGGACGGUUUCACGGACAUAGAUAAGCCUGUGUCUUAACUAAAUUGCACUUCAAUCCAGACCACUGAAAUGUGGUUGCAUGAACAUGAUUUAAAUACACUCCAAGUCACUGACUAGUCCUCAAUCUACUAAAUUAGGGGGGGAAAAUCCAAUCUAUGACUGUGAAACAAACCCAAAAUGUCUUAGGUCUCUGAGCAGAGUGUGGUGGCCCACCAGUGUUUGUGGCACAGUGAAUAGCCAUCUCAGGUUUCAUCCUCAUAGACAGGGCCUUCCUGCCAACAACCUCUCUGCUUUUUAUCUGUUUAGUCAAGGUCAACCCUCACGGUCCAGUUAAAACCAGAGCAGCCAACCACAGCUCCUCUGACCAGUGUGUCAAACAAAGUCAAAGUACAUUUUAAACCAACAUGAGAUUCUCUUUGGGAUGGAAAUCCAGGUACUUUCUUUUCACUUGAAAUCAUAGCUUGAAUUCCCUUGUAUUCCCUUUGUAAACAUUUUCCCAUACAGUGAGAAGAAAACGUACAUUAAAUCAAAAUACAAAACCCAAUUGCCAUGGAAAGGAUGUAUUGUCCUGUUCAGCAAUACAAUUAUGUUAUUUGAAAAGAUAAAUAAGAAAUUUAGAUUAAGCUUCAAGCUUCUUUUUAUAUUUUAUGAAAGGUUGUGCUUUCCGUCUAAUCUGAGGUUUUGCUCAAGUCUCUGUUUACAUGCGUUUACAAUACUUCACUGAGGAUGUGGGUUUUCAGACAACUUUCUGUCAAUAGCUAAUAAGAGCAUGGUGAUAGUAGGUGGUGCUUGGGAGUAACAAAUAACACCCUGUGGUGUAUGAGCAAGUCAGAAGCAGUAAAAUACAUGACACAUAAACUUGGAUUUUUGUUUUCAAUGGUGUAAUGCAAAUAAUAUUGUUUAGAAUCUACGAGAAUUAUAUACAUUAUUUUCUGCUAAAUGUAAGGAUUGAUUUAGUUAUAUAAAUAUUGUUGUUUUGUAAUGGCAAUAUAAGAAGAGAGUGGGACAUAAGUACCAACUUGAGUGAAGCGAGAUCAAAACAUGUUACACAUGAAUAAUAACACAUCAUAUUAUUGCGUCAUAUAAACACCACAAAGCCUUUUUAUAGGAUAAGGAUAUCAACGGUUUGAGUUUCUGUUUACAGUAUUUAUCUGCCCCUGGAUACAAUGUGUCUAUCAUCUAUUUAUUUACCCUUAUUUCUCUCUUCCACUUUAGAUUGAGAUGGAUGAGAUGAACUACCCUGUUUGAAAUGAUCUUGUGAGGACACUGAGACAGAAGCAAGACUUCUUAGUUAGAUCCCACCGGCUCAGCCUGUCUCGUACUGUACCUUGGCAGGUGGGAACACAAUAAUUUAGUUUGAACUAUAGUAUGUAUUACUGUAUGUACAUUUCACUUUUCAGGCAUUAUAAAAAAGAUCAUGUCUGGGUAUCACAAGGAUAUGAUAUCAUUAAUUGACAAGUGCAUUUUGGUUUAGAAAAACAUUUGAUUGAAAGGAUCCACUCAGAGAACGCCAAAGCAUUGAAAUCAAAUACCUAAAUUCUAUAUUUUUUAAACAUUUUUUUAAUGUAUUCCCUGGUUUAGGGUACUAUUGCCUUUAUCCUAUAUGUAAUACGAUGGACUGUAUAUAUCCUUUCCAUACAUAGACCAAAAUCCCCAAAAUGUACCAUGCCAGCUUUUUCAUAGAUCUGAAAGGGAUAGGGUGUAAAAAAACAUGGUCAAUUAAAAUCCACCUAAAGACCUAGUUAUGGGGUGGCAGGUAGCCUAGUGGUUAGAGCGUUGGGCCAGUAACCGAAAGGUUGCUAGAUCGAAUCCCCCGAGCUGACAAGGUAAAAAUCUGUCGGUCUGCCCCUGAACAAGGCAGUUCCUAGGCUGUCAUUGUAAAUAGGAAUUUGUUCUUAACUGUCCUGCCUAGUUAAAUAAGACAGACCCUGUAACUGAAAUACAGGUAUUGGGUAUGUGUGAAUGGUUCCCUGCUUUUUUGUAAGUAAAUUCAUCAACACUUCUAUUGUUUAACACCUCCCUAAUUUGAAAUGCAAACAGCCCCCAUGGUUUAAGAACAUCCCCCGACCCUCCCAAUUUGCCAGUUACCCACUGAUAUGUAUAAUACAGUGGAGGCUGCUGAGGGGAGGACAGCUCAUAAUAAUGGCUGGAAGGGAGUGAGUGGCAUGGUCUAGGGCACUGCAUCGCAGUGCUAGCUGCGCCACCAGAGUCUCUGGGUUCGCGCCCAGGCUCUGUCGCAGCCGGCCGCAACCGGGAGGUCCGUGGGGCGACGCACAAUUGGCAUAGCGUAGUCCGGGUUAUGGAGGGUUUGGCCGGUAGGGAUAUCCUUGUCUCAGUAUGUAAAAAUGUAAUAAAAAUGUAUGCACUCUACUGUAAGUCGCUCUGGAUAAGAGCGUCUGCUAAAUGACUAAAAUGUAAAAUGUAAAUGUAAAUGUAUUUGACACCAUUCCACUAGUUCCGCUUCUGCCAUUACCACAAGCCCGUCCUCUCCAAUUAAGGUGCCACCAACCUCCUGUGGUAUAAUAGCGGUAUACCUGCAAAUAAGUGAUAAAUAAGGGGCUGUUUGAAAGGGGGUCAUAUAAACAUUGCCUUAUAUUUUUUACAGGUUGGUGUUUUUUUGUUAUUUCCUGUGUGAUCGUGUCAUGUGGCUCUUCAUAACUUGUCCUUUCCUGACACUCAGGGGACCCCGUCAAUUAGCUGUAUUCUGUUUAUAUUUCCUCCCGCUAGAACACCUGGCAAACAAUUACUCUACUGUUAAAGCAGGAGGGAGUUUUUGGACAAAGCACCUCAUAGCACCCAAGUGAUGACAUGGAUCUGUUAAAUGGCUCUAAAGCUGUUUUUGUGUUAUAAAGAGAGCCUCUUUGCAGACUUUUGUCUUUGAAAGGCAUUGCCUGAGGCUCAAAUACUACGAGGCUGCCUGUUAAUGACUUGUCAAGAGAGAGAGGGGAAUAGCUGGAGACAGGAGAUCAUGCUAAGCUCUGCUGGGUUUUCCUAAUUGCAGUUGUGAUCCCUCGGUUGUUAGGGGCGAUUUGUUGAAGUUUAGUCCUUGAUAUCUCAAAAUGGUUCUGUACCUUUCACAUGACAACAAUAAAUGAUUUGAAACUAAGAA